UUUGCUUACUGAAAAUGGGAACACUAAGGAUGAUCUUAGGCUCCCAACUGAUGAUAGUCUGCUGAGCCAGAUCAAGGAAGGAUUUGAAUCAGGGAAGGAUUUGGUUGUGAGCGUGAUGUCUGCUAUGGGUGAGGAGCAGAUCUGUGCCCUGAAGGACAUUGGCCCUAAGAAUUAGUUUUACCAUCUCUGUCAUUGUUAUGUUUGGUCUUCUAUGUUUUCUGAAAAAAAAAAAAAAAAAAGAAAGAAAGAAAGAAAGAAAGAGAGAAAUUCUGAUCAUCUAGAUUUUGCAUUUUAUAUUUGAAAAUGUUGUGUUAUGUUGUGGGAAAACCGUAGCCUGCUUGGAAUAUGUGGUAGUGCAUUUGUGAUGGGUGGGUAAUUGGUUGCACCUUGUUAAAAAAAUUAUGGUGUUUUAAUUUGUGUAAUGAAUUAAAAUAUCAGUGAGAAAUGGUUCUUUGGCUUUCA